UACGUAGGCAGCGAGCGUUGUUCGGAAUUACUGGGCGUAAAGAGUGUGUAGGCGGUGCUCUAAGUUCGGUGUGAAAUCUCCUGGCUCAACUGGGAGGGUGCGCCGGAAACUGGAGUGCUUGAGCGUGGGAGAGGAAAGCGGAAUUCCUGGUGUAGCGGUGAAAUGCGUAGAUAUCAGGAGGAACACCUGUGGUGUGAGAUCGGCUUUCUGGACCAUAGCUGACGCUGAGACACGAAAGCGUGGGUAGCAAACAGG
rnacentral:rRNA from 1 species